rnacentral:rRNA from 1 species
GUAGGUGGCAAGCGUUGUCCGGAAUUAUUGGGCGUAAAGCGCGCGCAGGCGGUUCUUUAAGUCUGAUGUGAAAGCCCACGGCUCAACCGUGGAGGGUCAUUGGAAACUGGAGAACUUGAGUACAGAAGAGGAAAGCGGAAUUCCACGUGUAGCGGUGAAAUGCGUAGAGAUGUGGAGGAACACCAGUGGCGAAGGCGGCUUUCUGGUCUGUAACUGACGCUGAGGCGCGAAAGCGUGGGGAGCAAACAGGAUUAGAUACCCUGGUAGUCCACGCCGUAAACGAUGAGUGCUAAGUGUUAGGGGGUUUUCCGCCCCCCUUAAUACUGCAGCUAACACAUUACGCACUCCGCCUGGGGAUACGGCCGCAAGGCUG